AGCCACAUCACGUUGAAACACCACUUCCUGUACGAUCACCGAAGUUAAGCAAGAUCAAGCCUUGUUAGUACCUAGAUGGGUGAUCGCUCAGGAAUACGAGGUGCUGGAA